rnacentral:tRNA from 1 species
GGCCACGAAGCUCAGCUGGUAGGGCGUGCGCUUUAUAAGAAGCGUAGGCGGUGUCCAUGCGUGGGUUCCAAUCCCACCGAGGCUG